rnacentral:rRNA from 1 species
GACGAGCGCUGGCGGCGUGCUUAACACAUGCUAGUCGAACGAUGAGGCCUAGCUUGCUAGGUGGAUUAGUGGCGAACGGGUGAGUAAUACGUGAGUAACCUACCUUUAACUCUGGGAUAAGCCCGGGAAACUGGGUCUAAUACCGGAUACGACCAAUCUCCGCAUGGGGUGUUGGUGGAAAGCGUUGUGUAGUGGUUAUAGAUGGGCUCACGGCCUAUCAGCUUGUUGGUGAGGUAACGGCUCACCAAGGCGACGACGGGUAGCCGGCCUGAGAGGGUGACCGGCCACACUGGGACUGAGACACGGCCCAGACUCCUACGGGAGGCAGCAGUGGGGAAUAUUGCACAAUGGGCGCAAGCCUGAUGCAGCGACGCCGCGUGAGGGAUGACGGCCUUCGGGUUGUAAACCUCUGUUAGCAGGGAAGAAGAGAGAUUGACGGUACCUGCAGAGAAAGCGCCGGCUAACUACGUGCCAGCAGCCGCGGUAAUACGUAGGGCGCGAGCGUUGUCCGGAAUUAUUGGGCGUAAAGAGCUUGUAGGCGGUUUGUCGCGUCUGCUGUGAAAGGCCGGGGCUUAACUCCGUGUAUUGCAGUGGCGUACGGGCAGACUAGAGUGCAGUAGGGGAGACUGGAAUUCCUGGUGUAGCGGUGGAAUGCGCAUAUAUCAGGAGGAACACCGAUGGCGAANGCAGGUCUCUGGGCUGUAACUGACACUGACAAGCGAAAGCAUGGGGAGCGAACAGGAUUAGAUACCCUGGUAGUCCAUGCCCGUAACGUUGGGCACUAGGUGUGGGGAACAUUCCACGUUUUCCGCGCCGUAACUAACGCAUUACCUGCCCCGCCUGGGGAGUACGGCCGCAAGGCUAAAACUCAUAGAGAUUGACGGGGGCCCGCACAAGCGGCGGAGCAUGAUUUAUUAAUUCCAUGCAACAGCCAGAACCUUCCCAAGGCUUGACAUAUACUGGACCGCAUCAAAGAUGGUGUUUCCCUUCCGGGCUGGUAUACGGGGGGUGCAUGGCUGUCCCCCCCUCCUGGCUAGGGAUGUUGGGUUAAGUCCCGCAACGAGCGCCUCCCUCGUUUUAUGUUCCCUGCACGUAAUGGUGGGAACUCAUUGGAGACUGCCCGGGGUCAAACUCGGAGGAAGGGGGGGAUGACCUCCAAUCCUCCUGGCCCUUUAGGUCCUGGGCUUCCUGCUGGCUAAUUGGGCAGGUACAGAAGGCUGCGGAUACUGUGAGGUGGACCUAAUCCCCUAUAGCCGGUCUCAGUUGGGAUUGGGGCCCUGCAAUCGACCCCAUUACUUCGGAAUCCUUAGUUAAUCGCAGAACGAGAAGCCUGGGCGCAGAACGUUUCCGGGCCU